rnacentral:misc_RNA from 1 species
UAGAGUUGUAAAACUCCCAAAACCCAUGUGAACAUACCUCUGUUGCCUCGGUGGCCUACCCGGUACCUACCCUGUAGUUACCCUGUAGUCCGCCGACGGACCACCAAACUCUUGUUUUUUUUAAUAUCUCUGAGUCAACUAUAAAUAAGUUA